rnacentral:rRNA from 1 species
AGCGGCGCACGGGUGAGGAACACGUGGGAACGUGCCCAACGGUUCGGAAUAACUCAGGGAAACUUGAGCUAAUACCGGAUACGCCCCUUCGGGGGGAAAGAUUUAUCGCCGAUGGAGCGGCCCGCGUCCGAUUAGCUUGUUGGUGAGGUAAAAGCUCACCAAGGCGACGAUCGGUAGCUGGUUUGAGAGAACGAUCAGCCACACUGGGACUGAGACACGGCCCAGACUCCUACGGGAGGCAGCAGUGGGGAAUCUUGGACAAUGGGGGAAACCCUGAUCCAGCCAUGCCGCGUGAGUGAUGAAGGCCCUAGGGUUGUAAAACUCUUUCGGCGGGGACGAUAAUGACGGUACCCGCAGAAGAAGCUCCGGCUAACUUCGUGCCAGCAGCCGCGGUAAUACGAAGGGGGCUAGCGU